GACGAACGCUGGCGGCGUGCUUAACACAUGCAAGUCGAACGGAAAGGCCCUGCUUUCGUGGGGUGCUCGAGUGGCGAACGGGUGAGUAACACGUGAGUAACCUGCCCUUGACUUUGGUAUAACUUCACGUAACUGGGGCUAAUACCGUAUAGGAUCUCCUGCUGCAUGGUGGGGGUUGGAAAGUUUCGGCGGUCGGGGAUGGACGUGCGGCUGAUCAGCUUGUUGGUGGGGUAGUGGCUUACCAAGGCUUUGACGGGUAGCCGGCCUGAGAGGGUGACCGGCACCAGAGUAAUUGGGAUGGGACCCAGACUCCAUAGGGAGGCAGCGGUGGGGAAUAUUGCAAAAUAAGCCGAGGGCGGAAGCAGCAACGCCGGGUGCGAAAGGACGGUUUUCGGGUUGGAAACGGAUUUCGCUUGUGACGAGGCGUGAUGAACGGAAAUGGGUAAAGAAGAACGGGCUAACUAGUU
rnacentral:rRNA from 1 species